GGAACGACCCUCCGAGGACUCUACUGAAUUUCGGCCUUCAACGACAUCUCUCCGAACCUCUCCGGCGGCCGAGCCUCCGCAACACUCAAGUUUUGCCGACGGAUAAAUCCCCUCCAGUGUCGACCAGAUCCUUCAUGACAGACGAACUCCUACGGGAGCCGGACUUCAUCCCCAACUUCAACUACAGAAAAACUUCGUCCGGACUCCUACGGGAGCCGGACUUCGUCCCCAACUU
rnacentral:lncRNA from 1 species